rnacentral:lncRNA from 1 species
GUGACUCGAAGAAGCCUUCCAAAAAGCUGUGAAAAGGGAGCCCUCCUCUACUACCAAGGUGACUUCAGGGAGCACAUUCAAUGCCAGUGAAGAGAUCACUAUUCACCAUGCAAGGGAGUUCCAGCACCCUCUAUGCCUGGAAUUACCCACGCCUGCAGAGAUCCCAAACGCCAUCCCUCACAUAAGAGAGCCUCAUGAUCUCAUAAUCCAGAGAAUACAAGAAGAUAUGCUGUGCACACCAACCAGUGUAGGAGACCUCAUGGCUCCCGGGUAAAGAAGAAGAGGUACCCACAAGAAGAUGACUUCCAUCAUACAGUCUUCAGCAACCUUGAAAGACUGGACAAGCUUCAGCCCACUCUUGAAGCCUCUGAGGAGUCUCUAGUUCACAAGGACAGAGGAGAUGGAGAGAGGCCAGUCAACGCGAGGGUGGUGCAGGUGGCCCCUCUGAGGCGUGAAUCUA